ACGGGGUGCAGCAGGCGCGAAAACUUUACAAUGCGGGAAACCGUGAUAAGGGAACACCGAGUGCCAGCAUCAUAUGCUGGCUGUCCAGAUGUGUAAACUACAUCUGUUAGCAAGGGCCGGGCAAGACCGGUGCCAGCCGCCGCGGUAACACCGGCGGCCCGAGUGGUGACCGUUAUUAUUGGGUCUAAAGGGUCCGUAGCCGGUUUGGUCAGUCCUCCGGGAAAUCUGAUAGCUCAACUAUUAGACUUUCGGGGGAUACUGCCAGGCUUGGAACCGGGAGAGGUAAGAGGUACUACAGGGGUAGGAGUGAAAUCUUGUAAUCCCUGUGAGACCACCUGUGGCGAAGGCGUCUUACCAGAACGGGUUCGACGGUGAGGGACGAAAGCUGGGGGCACGAACCGGAUUAGAUACCCGGGUAGUCCCAGCCGUAAACUAUGCUCGCUAGGUGUCAGGCAUGGCGCGACCGUGUCUGGUGCCGCAGGGAAGCCGUGAAGCGAGCCACCUGGGAAGUACGGCCGCAAGGCUGAAACUUAAAGGAAUUGGCGGGGGAGCAC
rnacentral:rRNA from 1 species